rnacentral:rRNA from 1 species
UACGUAGGGUGCAAGCGUUAAUCGGAAUUACUGGGCGUAAAGCGUGCGCAGGCGGUUUGUUAGACAGAUGUGAAAUCCCCGGGCUUAACCUGGGACUGCGUUUGUAACUGGCAAGCUAGAGUGUGGCAGAGGGGGGGUGGAAUUCCAAGUGUAGCAGUGAAAUGCGUAGAUAUUUGGAGGAACACCAAUGGCGAAGGCAGCCCCCUGGGCCAAUACUGACGCUCAUGCACGAAAGCGUGGGGAGCAAACAGG